rnacentral:rRNA from 1 species
AGAGUUUGAUCCUGGCUCAGGAUGAACGCUGGCGGCGUGCCUAACACAUGCAAGUCGAGCGUGAUUGUUAUGAGUGGAGACUUCGGUCAAAGCGAGUAACAUGAAAGCGGCGGACGGGUGAGUAACGCGUGGGCAACCUGCCCCAUACACGAGGAUAGCCACUGGAAACGGUGAUUAAUACUCGAUAAGACCACACUGCCACAUGGCAGAGCGGCCAAAGAUUUAUCGGUAUGGGAUGGGCCCGCGUCUGAUUAGAUAGUUGGCGGGGUAACGGCCCACCAAGUCGACGAUGGGUAGCUGGUCUGAGAGGACGACCAGUCACACUGGAACUGAGACACGGUCCAGACUUCUACGGAAGGCAGCAGUGAGGAAUAUUGCUCAAUGGGCGAAAGCCUGAAGCAGCGACGCCGCGUGAAGGAUGAAAUCCGUAAGGAUGUAAACUUCUUUUGCAGGGGAAGAAUGUCCCGAUUCAUCGGGAUUGACGGUACCAUGCGAAUAAGCACCGGCCAACUACGUGCCAGCAGCCGCGGUAAUACGUAGGGUGCAAGCGUUGUCCGGAAUUACUGGGUGUAAAGGGUCCGCAGGCGGGUAAGCAAGUCGGUGGUGAAAUCCUGUGGCUCAACCACAGAACUGCCUCCGAUACUGUUUAUCUUGAGUACGAGAGAGGAUGAUAGAAUUCAUGGUGUAGCGGUGAAAUGCGUAGAGAUCAUGAAGAAUACCAGUUGCGAAGGCGGUCAUCUGGCUCGUUACUGACGCUCAGGGACGAAAGCGUGGGGAGCAAACAGGAUUAGAUACCCUGGUAGUCC